UGAUCUUCCUCAAAAAAAAAAAUAAAAAAGAAAAAAGAAAAUGAGAGAGAGUGUUCCCAGUGGAGGCUCAGCUUGAGCAAAGGUGUGAAGAAGGAAUUUCUUUGAUUGGAAAGCAGUGGGGAUGGGCCUGGUUGAACUUCAGGUACAGAGAGCAAAAGACAAACCCAGAUGGGGGUGCUGACAUGUGCUGAGGGAAGUUCCUGAAUGUCUGGGGAGGAAGUGACCAUACUCCCUUCGGACCUUCCUAGUGAAGAGGGAUCUGGGCUUGACUGCUGUCCUGGGCUGAAGGAUAAAGCUGGCUUUACUGUGAUCUGGGUGUCAAGUAUGGCAGCAGGCCAGGGGCUCUCAGACUGACCCCAUUAAAUCCACCUAGGUCUCCCAUUAACUUCUCCCACUUCCUAACAUGGGGACCUGCUCUUUUCUGGACACCUAGACACCCAGGCUGUGGACAAGAAUAAGCCUCUAUGACCUUAUUAUUUGAGACAGAUGUAGCUCAAAGGAGCCUUCAAUGCCAAAUUGCUGGGGUGAAAAUAAAGCAUCACGGAAGGAGUAAAGAGCUGUGGUGGAAGGGAAAUUUGUGGUUUCCCGGGGCUCCUCAAAUCAAGAGGCCAACCCUGGCUGAGAGCUGUUUCUAGUCCUGGCUCAAUUACUUCUUAGCCAAGUGGCUUUGGGCAAGUCACUUUCUCUCUGGGCCUUGGUUUCUCCAUGUGAAACCAGAUCAAGAUGAGCAGACAAUGCACGAGGAGGUGCGCAUAACCCAGGGACUUCUCCCGGCCCGUGGCUCUCUCUUUGGCCGGGUCCCUGCGGUGCAGCACCUUCUCCAAAAGCUCUCUCGGGAGGGUCCAGCCUUCUUCUUUAGUCGGAAAUGUGAUCUGAUCCAACCUACUGUGUGCUGGGUUCCCUCCACUGCAGUCCCCAGAUGGAUCCCUCUGAACAGGCCACGUGCUCCUAGGAGAGUGGUGGGUGCAGGUCCCUCACUUACCCCUGCUUCAGUAAGUGGGGGCUUUCUCAGAGGGGAGGCAGUGGGGUGGAGUGAAAGAAACACUGGCCUGUGGCCCAGCACAACUGUCCCACUUUCUCUCUCUGGGUCUCAGUAUCUUCACUGCCAAAUGGAGCAAAGAAUUUUUGUUUGGUCUUCUUUCCCCCAGUCUACUGUGAAACUGAAAUAGAAUUCAGAUGUGACCAAGGUUCUGGCCAGGUACAACAUCUUGCAAACACAGGGGCUAAGCUGGAGCUAGAGCUGGCCCCAGCUGCAGAGAGCAAAAUGAAGCCUUGCUGUUCUCAGACCUCACCCUAGGCAGAGUAGAAGUGGGGUACAGUGCCUCCUCAAGGCAUGCCCAGUGCUAUGCCAGGCCUGGCCAAGCUCUCCCCCAGUACUGCCCCUUGCCCAGUGAGCCGGGGAAAGGGCUGAAAUUUUGUUCUUUUCCAGAGCAGCUCUGACUUAGGAGCUAAAAGGAAAACUUUCCAAAGGGCUGAAAACUGAAAGUAAACAGCCACUUGGUUCUGGCUGGCCAGGUGGGCUUGCCAACGGUGUGCUGUGAGGCUCAGUAUAGCUGCCUGCCUCGUUCAACUUUCACCCCCUUGGCCGGAUGCCUUUCCCUGAGGCGGCUCCCAGAGUCCUCUCUAGGCCAGGACUAGGAUUUCCUUGGUGCUAAAGAGAGUAGCAAACUCAGCAGCUGCAGCCAGGAGCAGCAGGGAAGUGGGGACAAGACACUUAGACCAAGGGCCCAGCCCUGAGAGGCAAAUCCUAAAUCUGACCCCAACCAGCUGCAGCAUGGCUGGGCUCUGCACUCUGGGCUCACAUUCCAUUCCUGCGUUAGAGCUCAGGUCAUGUGGUUUUCACUGUGUACAUGCUCCCUCCGUUCCUCACCACCCUCUGACAGCUCUGUAUCCUUCCCUGGCAACAGGCCCAUUCCAGAGGGCCUAGGGACACUUCCUCAUCCCGGGCCUCAGACUCCCCAGCUACACACUGAAGAGGCCUGACUAGAUCACGACUUCUCAACCUUUUGAACUCAUGCCCUGCCAGUACGAGGGCUCAAAAGUCCAGAUUCCUGAGGGGGAAGCGUUAACAUGACACUCCUGGGAGAGCUCCUGGCUCCACCUGCCCAGCAGGCCUGUGGCACCUUUCCCUUGAGUACCUGCCAAAUCGCAUUCUGGGACAGGGUACCAGCCAGUUCCGGCUGCUUCCCGUGACUUCUGUACGUCUUUGGCCAGGGAGCUCAUCUCCUCCUGAAAGCUUUGUGUGGCCUUUAUCAGAAACCCUUUGACCUUUAGGUCUCUUCUUGGGGCUCUGCAGAAGGCUAGGGACUUGGUGGUUCAAAGAAAUGAGGCAAUAGGUCAGGGCCUCCUGCCCCAAGAGGGGAAGCUGAGCCAUCAGGCCUGGACCACAAGCUGAGGGCAGAUGACACUGGGCUCAGGAUGUUCCGUUGGACUCUGCUGACCCGAUCUGGUGAUUUUGUGGAGGCUGGGUUUCUCAACCAGGAUUGUGUAUCCCUUAGAUGCCUCUGGGCUUGGGGGAGGGAAACCAAGGGACAUAAAAAUUCUUUGGGCUUCUGGGAGAAAAGCAGCAGCCUUAAGACUCAUAGACAGGCAGGCCACAGACUUCUGAGGCUGGGGUUCUAUCGCCCUUAAGUGGGGUGGUGUGUCAUCCUGAGUCUCUAACUCAGGGUCUGAACUGAGCACAGAGUCAACUGCUACAGCCCUGAGAACUUCUCUCCACACUUCUGGGGUGCCCUGUGGGGCCUAACUUCCCAGCUCCCCACUCCUGAUGCUAAGCUUUUGAUCAUGUCCCUAUCCCUUGGCAUUUCCUUCCUACCAGUCCUUGCUAAAAUGUAACAGCAUAAGAGGGAAGAAGUCUUAUAAUAUGACAAUAUAAGGCAAUAAUAAUGAUGAUAAAAAUAACAUAGCUAACACUCAUAUAAUUCUUACUAUGUUACAUGCCAAGAACUAUUCUAAGUGCUUUACGUAUUGUACUCAGUUAAUUCUAAACAAACUCUAGGAGGCAGGUACUAUUAUGCCCAUUUUUCAGAUAAAGAAACUGAAGCACAGAAAAGUUAGGUAACUUGUCCCAGGUUACACAGCUAGUAAGUGGCAAAACUGAACUUUAAACUUAGGCUGUCUGGAUUCUCAGGCCCUGCUUCUAACUACUAUACAAAACUGCAUGGUAGGAGAGAUUAAGUCUGUGUUGCCUCCCCAGAGACCAGACUUCAGACCUCAGAAAGCCAGCAGCAGAGCCAAGGCAAGAAACCAGGUUUGCUGACUCUCAGCUUCCCAGCUGGCCUGGAGCACCUCCAUCCCUAGUGAGGCCUGAGGUGCUGUGGUCUGGCUGAGUGGAGGGAAGUUGAUAAAACUAGUUUGCCAAUAGCAGCUAAGCAAACAAAAUCAGAAGUAACUUUAAAUAAAACCAGGAAGCUGCCCCAGUGAAGAGGUACUUCACCACAAGAGGGAAGAGAAAGCAGAGGCAGCAGAACUCGACCAAUUCACAAGCAAUUGGAAACUGUGCGACUGGAUGUCUGUGCAGCAGUCCUGGCCUCUGUACUCUAUCUGUAUUCUACAGUACACUCACCCUGCGAGGCCUGAUAACCCCAGCUGACAGCUGAGGAGACAGGCUCAGAAAGAUCAGAAGGUUAAUGGCACACAGAAUCCUGUAUCCACCAUACUGUGAGGGAAGGAGAGGAAGAAACCUGCUUCACAGACGCUUCAAGUGGAGACUGUCUGGGAGGCUCCUGGGCUGAGGCGCAUGAUUUCAGUGUGGAGCGAAGGACUAGGCCUUCCCUAGACCUUGUGAUGAAACCAGAGCAGGUGAGCCAGUAUGUACAAGCUCUCCUUUUUCAGGGAUGGGUUGCUUGUCCUGGGCCUGAAGCAGGUCAGCUCCAGUACAGCAAUCUCAGGACACUGGUUGAGAAGAGCCCAGUAGGCCCUCAAAAUGCUCUUCUUCAACCUUCAGGGCCAAGGCAGAAAGAUGGAACAGAUGGAAUCCUAAUGGAAGGAAUCCUCAAAUGGGGGUACAGGACAGGCUCCUGCCCUCCCCUGUCUACCUCUCACAUUACAGAAAAUAGAAGACAAAAGAGAAAAUGGCAGCUUUCAUCAAAUGGAAACUCCAUCACCAAUCUCUAAUCCUACCUGCUUUAGCACCCAUCUUUCCCAUCUUCUCUGUCUUCCUUCAUGCUAUAGGGUGAGUUUUCUUUUUCCUCCAAAAAGGCCAAUACCCCCACAUGUGCUCUGGAUCCCAUGCCUUCUCUGACCCGGGGACUGUUCUUUCUAUUCCGUCUCCCUCUCCUGCAUCUUCCCUUCUCCCUUUCUCUACUGGAUCACUGCUGUAGCAUACGGAAAGCUGUAGCGGUUGCCAUAUUUAAAAAACAAACCCCAAAAAACCUUCCCUCGAUCUCAUAUGCUACUCCAGCCACUAUCCUAUUACUCUGCUCCACAUCACAGUCAAAUUAGGGAAGGAGUUGGUGUCUCCAUUUUGUCACCAUUCAAUCAUUCUUAAAAUUUUAAUUACACAUGAUUUUGUGAUUUCAUUGUGUAACAUACCAAAGAACCUAUGGACCUUAUGUAAAUUAUGAAGCAUAAUAGAAAUGAACAUCUGUAAACCCACAACCCAAUCUAAGAACUAAAGCAUUGUUAAUAGUGUUGAAUAGACCUACGUGCGCCUCCUCCCCUACGCCAUUCCCUGCCUCCAAAAUUAUGACCACUGUACUCAAACUUCUGAAAACCAAGGAGAAAAAUCUUAAAAGCAGCCAGAGAAUAAAGGUCACAAUACAUUCAGGGCAACAACAAUAAAAACAAUGGUUGCUUCUCAUCAGAAACAAUGGCAGUCAGUAGAGUGUGGAAUGAUAGUUCCUAAAGGCUAAAAGAAACAAACAAAAUUCAACUUAGAAUUCUAUAUCCAGUGAAAAAAGUAUCUUUCAAAAACGAAGGUAAAAUAAAGAUAUUUUCAGACACAUGAAGCUGACAGCAUCAGUUACCAGGAGGUCUGUACUCCAUGAAAUUCUAAAGGAAGCUCUUCACGCUGAAGGGAAAUGGUGCUAGAGUGAAACCGGGAUGUGAGGAAGGAACGAAGAACACCAGAACUACUAAGCAUACGGGUUAUCCAGCACUGGUUGGCAGCCAGUCUAGAGCAAAAGAGACUCGGCUAUAAAUGCCUCAAGCAGUGAGCGAGGCCCAGCACCAGUGAAGAUGACCAACCUCCUGAGGUUUCCUCUGCCCUCUGGGGUGAACCAUGACAACUGGUUACCCUAACUAGGACCCAGAAGGAGGUCUCAAGGAGAGAGAUGGCCCUGAGAGCAGCAGACAAAC